rnacentral:lncRNA from 1 species
GUGAACUGGUUAUAGAGCCCUAUUGUUUAAUAACAUUUUUAAAAGAGUCAUUUCCAUUAAUAAUCUGUUGACUAAUUUUCCAAUCCCUACUGGCACAGGUUGAUCGUUUACUUUUUCUGCAUAUAUUAUCCCCUGAACCUGAGCGAUCGAUCUUCAAUGUUGAACUAGCACACUUAUAUCUGAAAUCAUCCUUCGCCAAGUUGAUCCUCAUCUUUCUAUUGGUGAUGUUAUAUGGACUUCCUUGCCUUGUAAUUGGGUUGAGUGUAAAUUCUCCAAGUUGAUUCUGUACCAUAAUAAUCAGGGGGUGAGUAGUCUGAGUUUUUAAAACAUCGUGUACCGUUUUCAAUUCAAGAGAUUUAUUUACCUUUGCAUGUAUUUAUAUUUGGAGAAUCUCACUGUCAUGGAGCAGGGCCGCCCUUCCUACUUCGAGACCAUACAUCUUCCUCGUCUCUUUGGGUAUGCUUUGAAUCUCUCUCCAUAAUGCAUAUAUGCUCCCCCAUGUGAAUUAUUGUUUGGCACGGAAAUAUAAGCAAGGUGCCCCACUUUGCCACGAUACCAAUAAAAUGCUCCAUUGUGUCCUAACAUGAUCAUACCAAGGCUGCAUAGACAUUUUGGAGGGGAUAGUCGUCUUUUCAAUCCUUCCAUUUUAGGUUAACGAAUAAGUUUUUGCCUCCAUACUUGACUAAGUAUUUCGUUAUAGUCAGUGCAUCUCAGAAUAUGGUUCUCUUGGAAGUACAACACUACCAUGUUCACACAUUUAAUUUGUACUAAAAGGUACUUAUAUCUCUAAAUGAGAUUGGAUUUCACACAAUGUCUACUAUAUUGAACGAUUUUAGGGUAUUAGCGUCUCUUCUUUUGAAAAUUGUCUAGUAUACUCUGAAGCUUGGAAGCAUUCUCAGUGAUGUUUUUUCCUCUCUGGAUGACAGUGCAAUCAUAUGGAAAGUAUAUAUUUGUCAGGAGGUCUUCUUUCUCCCAAUUUCCAUCCCUUCAAGACACGUAUCCAUUGCAUUCUAGAGCCGUAUAGCAGAAGUAAGAAAGAAGAGAGGGCUUAGUGGAUCCCAAGUACUUCAAUGAUGAAGUUGUGCUCGAUCGAAUCAAAAGCCUUCUCAAAAUAGAGACAUAUCAGCACAGUAUUUUCCUCAUUUCUCUUUGCCUGACCAACUGUAGAUUAUAAUGACACGGUGACAUCUUCCAUUUGACAUCCGGACCGUAAACUAAACUCAGUCUCAGUCAAUAACAUGUUAUUUGCGUUUCAUAAAAAUAGUAAAUAAACUUGUUUCCUACA